CAUCAUUACUUGAUGCAUGUAAUCUUAUUACUCUUUUAUAUGCACCAAUAUUCACACAAAUAGAUACAAUAGCUCUACCUGAUCAAAGAUUUUGGGUCCACCUUUGAUUACUACAACAACAAUUAAUAGAGAAAUACAACAUUGUAAUUAAAGGAUCUUGUAAUUAAUUUAAUUUCAAUGAGAUCACAACACGAACAGAGUCAUUAUCAACUCAUAAUCUUUCACAUUCUUAAUUUAAUUAAAUUAAUCAACAUUCCUAUUCAAUAAACAUUUCAUCAAUUAUUAUAAUUAUUAUGUCUUUUUAUUUUAUUCAUAUUCAUAAUUAGAUUCAAUCUCCACAGUUAACGAACUGGUAGUCCACCAUGAGGUGACCUUGAGCAUUGCCUCUUCGGUCAGUAUCGAGCUGCCGGAAAACACCAGCGUCCAAAUCUAAACCUCCAUUGCUGCACUGAUCAACAAUUCUCACCGUUGCUUGAGCUCUUGUGGCUCUAUUAGUCACCUGCAUGCAUAUGCAAUUUCAAUUGGUUUAUUUCCUUUUCUGACUAUUAAGCUCUUAAUUUAUCACCAACUCUUCUCCUACUCAUCCUAUGAAUUUUUAUUGUCUAUCAUCUGCAUCUUAAAGUAGGCAAAUAAACGAAUUUGAUUGUUUUAUAAAUUUGUGUUAAGACUUUUCUUAAAUACUAUUAUUGAACUCUUAUCUAUCAGUUUAAACUUUUGGGUCAAGCAACUUCCUAAUAAUUUGUACUUUUAACUUUUUUACUUGUUCUAUUUUUGUGUUCAUUUUAAUGGUAAGGCUUAGCACGUAUCUAAGUAGACAUACCAAUACUUCUUCAUUUUAUUAAUAAAUUUCUGUGAAUCUGUCACAAUUUUCUAAAAAACGGUAAUAAAUAUAAAAUCUCGAAAACAUUUUGCUUUUAAAAAAUAAAAACACAUGAAAUAUUGAAAGGGAGGAUGAAUUUUGCUACCCUCUAAUGUAAAAAAUUUCACAGAAAAUACAGCUCAACCACAAAACAAUCAAGAAUGAAAAUCAUAGAAAAAAUACGAGCAAUAAAACCCAAAAACUGUGGAUUGGAAAUAUCAAUAAUAUCUCAUACGUUGUGAUAUAUAGUUAUCUUACCCUUAAGCACUUGCCACAAGAAGCUUGUCCACGAGGCCCAACGGGGCCACAGAAGGCAGUCCAUCCGUAUUUCCUGCGCCAAGACAAGGGCUUGUUUGCAUCCCAUGUUGAGCAGUAAGCACUCACAGCAUUCAAGUCCCAUCCAUUCUGUUCAGGAUUGUAAAAGUGAUAAGUUGCUCUAACAUUAGAAGCACUUUGGCCAUCACCGCUGCUGCUGCUGCCGGGCCUACAAUUACUUUGACAAUUCUUAGAAGGUGAGCAAUACUCAUCAGUUGAGCCACAAUAACCAUACUGGCUGCAACAUAGGUUGUUGGCACAAGUCCGGCCACCGGCUUGCCGGCCGCAUUGCUGGGCAGCGGCAAGAGCCAUUGAACAAAUUAGCAACACCAUGCAUAAGCUUAAUUUUCCCAUUUUUAAUUCUUUUGUUUGUGAAGAUUUAUUGAGUGGUACUACAUGAAUUUAUAGGGAACCGAUAUUUUAAAAUGUUAGAGCAUUACGUAACAUGUCUUAUUGACUUCAAGACUUAUUCAAACGAUCAAAUCUUCUAGUUGCAGAUUUCUUUGACUCUCGGGAAUUUCAACUUAGAUUUGUUCUUGGAGAACAAUGAUAUACUUUUCUUCCUCAAUACGGGCAAGUUUCUGAAGAAGAGAGAUAACGAGAUGGGAAAAAUGGUGGUUUUAAAUUUUGCUGGUCAAACCGGGCAACUGAUUUGUGUCAGCAUUAUGGUUUUCUUGACGGUGGUCACAAUUAAUGUGGUUUAUCCGUAUCAAUUCUUAGCUCAAGAAGUAAUGUACCUUCUUAUUGACUGUUAAUUCUGAUAAAAUUUUAAACAUGGAUCGCCUUGUAUUAAUUAUAAUAUUUUGUUGGGACAGGGACAUUUAAUUAAUCGUUUAUCUAACAAUUUGAUCCUGCAAUAGUCAAACUGAUUUAUCCACAACAGUUCCCCUUAUUCCUCUAAUUCUUGGUUCACAAUUACAUGGAAGAGGGAAUAUAAAGAUUAUUGUGUUGUUGAUUGUUUAGUUAUUCACUGAAUUUAUGUUUAGAUUGUUGUAGUAAAAUUUCUCUGUAGUGAUAGUUUAUGUAGAAACAACCUUUAUAUAGUUAUAAAAAAUUAUAGUUUUGAUUUGAACUAAUUAUAAAUAAAAAUAGACUCCACAUUAAUUAUAAUAAGUUAUAAUUUUUCUACAUCCCUUCUUCAAGAAUCUCUAUAUAGUGGUACUUAUCUGUAUAUUGCAAAAAUCUAAUGUUAUCUUACAUAAGAUUUAAGAUAAAAUAAAAAAUUUUCUAAAUUCAUUUACGACAAUAUAUAAUUUAUUCUUUAGAGUUAUUACUAAAUUAUUGCACAACAUUUUUAGAACUUAUAUUGAGAGAAAAACAUUGAAGAGAACACAAAUAUCUGGACUUUUAAUAUGACUUUCGAUAUUUAGAGUACUAUAUAGAUACAUGUACUAAUUUUCUAUGUCUAUCUUUCACCAAUAAUUAUACAUUUGAUUUGAUAUGCUAUACUAAUUAAUUAUUAAUGUAGUGAAUAUUUUAUUUCUAUAUUACUUGCACUAAGAAUAAUUAAGUUUAAAUAAUAAUUUUUGUAACUACACCUCUAUUAAGUCAUAACCUUUAGAUAGUAAUAAAAAUUUGUUUGAUCCUAACGUUACGACUGUAAAGAACUUACAUGAUGUAUGUCACCUCUUGCGCUUGCUUCUCUUUUUUUUAAUCUAAAAUUCCUAAUGACUUUUCUCUAUUCCUUAGCUUAUAAAAUAAGAUAAGGCUAUUUUUUCUUUUUUAGGGUGGAUGCUCAUUGAUUAAAUACUUGUUUAUUUUUAAUAUUUUAAAAAAUACUCCAACAUUAGUUAUGUUAAGUUAAAUGUUAAUUUUUCUUUGUUUCUACAAUAUUACUUUUGGAAUGUUGAGUAAUAUACGAUGUGAUCCUAAGCAAGAGUCUUGGUAGCAUUAAAUAAAAGAAACUAAAGGUUAAUUUACUAAGCUAAUCCUUUAAAAAAAGUCAUUAGGGGGUUGUUUGGCUUUUGUCUAAAAUCUGAAUUUUAAUUAUUUUCAGACAUUUAUAGCUUUUAAAUUUUUUGUUGUUCAUCACUUAUAUUAGAUUAUAAGAUGUUUAGAUCUGAAUAAAAAAAGUUAAAUAUUUUGACUUUUAUUUGAAUGACAAAACAUCUUAAUGAAAUUUUAAUAUUCUCUCUCAUUAAUACCCUUAUUAAAUAAAUUUAUUUCUUAUUUUUAUUAUUUUUUUAUUUAUCCCUUUUUUAUGUACAUGUAUUCAACUAUAAUUUUUUUUUUUUUGUUGAAUGAGAAUUUUAAACAUAAUAGAGCUUUAAUGUUUUAUAAUAGGUUCAUCUCUUUGUAUUUAUAUUUACUAUUUUUAUAAUAGAUUUUGAAUUUUAUUUAACUCAAUAAUUUUAAUUCAAAUAAUUAAACAAUUCUUGAUUGGCUUAUGUAAUUAAUAAGAAAAAAUAUCAGUUUAAUAUAUUAAAAAUAACAUUAUAAGUAUCAUUUAUUAACGUAAAAAAAUGUGUUAGAUAUAUAUUUUAAUUUUCAUGUUUUGUUAAGUUAAGCAUUAUCAAUUUUUUUACGAAUAAAAUAAUUUAUUUAUAAUUUGUUGUGUGUUUGAACAAUGAAUAUAUGUUAAAAUAUCAUAUUUCAAAUGUUUUCUUUUUUGAAAAACAAAUAACCUAACACUUAUAUUCAAAUAUUGAAAAAUAAAAAUAAACAUGUCAUUCAAAUAUAUAUAUUUAGAUCUAUUUAGACUUCAAUCAAAUUCAACAUACAUUCAAAUUUCAACAAAACAUCAAACGCUACCUAUUUUUCAUUCCAAGGUAUAAUUUUCUGUUUCAUUCAUUUUAUGUGUUCUCCCCAACCCAUCAAGAUUCAUUUAAAAGAAAUAUAUAUAUCUACGAAAAUUUUGAUGAGGUUUCAUUUGGCUGCACAAACAAAUCAAUUGCCUAUCAUCAUUUAAUGCACCCCCGUAAUCUCGAAAAUUCAUCAAUCCACCCCAACCAUUUUACAUUUUUAAUUAAUUUUCGAGGGUGAAUUGAUAACUUUCCAGAAUUUUGAAGAUGAAAUAAUGAUAAUCAAUUUACUUUGUCGGGCAAUCAAAUUUUACCCUUUUGAUAAAGAUACAUCAUUAUUCUGAAGAUAUGAUCUUGAAGCUUCUCAAUUAAGUAUCAUGGCCAUUUGGCCAUUACAAUUUUAUUCUAUUUUUUUGGUAUCAAUUGGCAUUUGAGGCUUUUUCUUUCUUUCUUUUUCUUUUGGCCUUUGAGCCAUUAAAAAACAAUGAUAUUUUUCUGUCCUAGAAAAUCUUCCAAGAUUAAGUUUCCAAUCGAAAGAAUCUGAUUCGAGCCAUCUCAUUCACAGGAGCUUCUUCCCACACAAGUCACAAUAAUUUAAUGGAUUGAAUCAUGAACAAAGUUUAUUUAUAUAUCGGUUACACAUAACAUAUUUUCUCAUUGACAGAUGAUUAAUUCUAACAUAUAUAUGAGCACACCCAUUUUUCUAUUCGUGCGUUGAGACAAAUUUAUUUAGUUCCCAGCAGCUGCAGGCGGCCAACAAUUAAACUGACAAUUUUCGGACGGCGAGCAGUAAUCAUAAGUGGAGCCACAAAAACCAAACUGGCUGCAGCACAGAUUGUUGGGACAAGGCCUGUCAAGCCCUUGGCGGCCACAUUGUUGAGCCUUCACAGUAUAUGCCACCAUUGUUAGGCUUACAAUUAAUACCACAUAAAUGCAAAGCAAGAGGCUAAACUUUCUCAUCGUCAUCUUGUGAAUGUUGUUUAUUCUGGAUUUAUGAGUUUGUUUAUUUAUAUGCAGAAACCGAACCACCCAGGCCUGCCCUACCACUAAUUGAAUGAGGCAAUUUUUAUUUUUUGUUUUCCUUUUAAUUAGAGCACACUUUUUAGGAAGGCACAACAAAUAUGCCUAUUAAUACGUCUGCUAAAUAGGUACUGUUAAAACAUUUAUUUUAACAAUAUUUUAAUUGAUUCUACCAAUUUUGACAUUCCUUGUGCAUACAAUUAUAUUAAAAUCCUUGGAAAAAAGAACUUUCAUAUGAUUAAUUACGUUUUAUUAUGUUCUUCAGUCUUAUACGCAAAUUAAUACAGCUUUUAUAAAGAUAACGUUUUUUGGAUAGGCACCCUCUGUUCAAAUCCUAUGGAAAUAGAGGGCUAAAUGAUAUAUAUGUAUAUAUAUAUAUUUUAAUUACUGUUGAAGUAUGUUGUAAGGGGCAAAAAUAGUGUUUUUUUUAAAAAUUUUUUGCCCUUUUAAUGUAUUUAACAUCUUUUUUUCAACACUGAUCCUUUAUUUUCGUUAUUUCACUUUGUAAAAAAAUAUGAAUUUCGAAUGGUAAGACUUAUUGUAUCAUUCCUAGUAAGGUAGAUAAAUUUUUUAUUUUAUCUAUAAAUUAAAGUCACUAAUCCUGCAAAUGUUGAAUUGAAAUAUCAUUUUAGUUAAUCCCAAAUUAAAAUGAAUUUCUUGCUACAAUGCCCAGUGGUGAAAUUGUUUGUUACAAAAUAAGAGUUUUAAUGAUUAAUGGCUUUCGUUUUUUUAUAAGCAGAGGUUGGUAGCCUUUGCAUCAUUCAUAUGCUGGAGUCUAGAGAUCAUACACCGAAUCUGCACAUACCCUUAAUAAACUCGAUCAAGAAUCUCCUCAUGAAGAAUUGGAAUAUUUAUUUUAGACAAAUCUAUCGUGAGGCCAAUUUUGCGGCUGACUACUUGGUCAAAAAUGCAAGCUCUUACCUCUCGGAUUUCAAGAACCUUCUAUAGGUCUUGGUCCUUGGCUUUGUUAUGAUAUUUAUGGGACGAUAAUUCCUUGCUCUGUUGUGUCUUAGCUUAGCUAAGCCCUUUUUGAUAACAAAAAAACAAAAAAGAUUUUUAAGUACUCUCUAAGGGACGAGGCUCCUGGAGAUACAUUUUAUUAAUAAUCACACACUGGUAGCUUACAUACAGUAAGGUGGCUUAUGGUCAUAGCCAAAUAAGCACUUAAGUUUAUAUACAAAUUUAAGGGUGCAUGGCUUAUGGGUAUUGACAAUAAGCACUUAAUUCUUUUUGGUACUUCUUGAGAGGAAGAAGCUUAUUUAGUACAUAUAUAAACAGCCUUAAUUGGACAUUAAUCGAUAGCGCAUGCAUGGAUGCAAGCAUGCUUCAGUGGUCACUACAGUUCACAAGCUUGUAGUUAACAAUGAUGUGGCCUACAAGUUUGUGAACCGUAGCGACUGAAGCAUGCAUGCAUGUAUGUAUAUAUAUAUAUAUAUAUAUAUAUAUAUAUGUAUGUAUGUAUGUAUGUAUCUCCUACAUAGAAACAUAGAAUGAAUUAUUAGAAAAUGAGAAGGAAACAUGUUUAUAUGGGUAUUACUAGGAACGGGGUGGAGGGUAUUUUUAAAAACUUGAAUUAUUUUGUUUGUUUAAUGGGGUAAUGUUAGAAAAGGGGAUUUGCUAGGGAUUUAAAGGGAUGGCAAUAAUCCAACUCCUCAUUUUUUACUCGGUGUUGGUCCUUUGAUUGCAUUUAAAUGGUGGUGAUAUUUCCCACUUCAUUUGGCAAAGAUUUUAUGAGUAUGUACAAGGGAAAUUCUAUACGAACCGCAUGUUACCAAUAAGGAUUUCUGACGAUACCUCUACACCGCCUUUAACUUGUUACUUGUAUUAAGAGAAUUGUUGUCGGAAAUUCUUAGCGGCUAGGUAUUUUGAUCGAGCCAAAUUUUUAAUGUCGCAUCAUUACUUGAUGCAUGUAAUCUUAUUGCUCUUUAUAGGGACCAAUAUUCGCUCAAAUAGAUACAAUAGCUCUACCUGAUCAAAGAUUUUGGGUCCACCUUUGAUUACUACAACAACAAUUAAUAGAGAAAUACAACAUUGUAAUUAAACGAUCUUGUAAUUAAUUUAAUUUCAAUAUGAUCACAACACGGACAAAGUCAUUAUCAACUCAUAUUCUUUCACAUUCUUAAUUUAAUUAAAUUAAUCAACACUCUUAUUCAAUAAACACUUCAUCAAUUAUUACACUUAUUAUGUCUGUUUAUUUUAUUCAUAUUCAUAAUUUGAUUCAAUCUCCACAGUUAACGAACUGGUAGUCCACCAUGAGGUGACCUUGAGCAUUGCCUCUUCCAUCAGUAUCGAGCUGCCGGAAAACACCAGCGUCCAAAUCUAAACCUCCAUUGCUGCACUGAUCAACAAUUCUCACA
rnacentral:lncRNA from 1 species